GACGAACGCUGGCGGCGUGCUUAACACAUGCCAGUCGAACGGAAAGGCCCUGCUUUUGUGGGGUGCUCGAGUGGCGAACGGGUGAGUAACACGUGAGUAACCUGCCCUUGACUUUGGGAUAACUUCAGGAAACUGGGGCUAAUACCGGAUAGGAGCUCCUGCUGCAUGGUGGGGGUUGGAAAGUUUCGGCGGUUGGGGAUGGCCUCGCGGCUUAUCAGCUUGUUGGUGGGGUAGUGGCUUACCAAGGCUUUGACGGGUAGCCGGCCUGAGAGGGUGACCGGCAACAUUGGGACUGGGAUCCGGCCCAGACUCCUACGGGAGGCAGCAGUGGGGAAUAUUGCCAAAUGGGCGGAGGCCUGAUGCAGCAACGCCGGGUGCGGGAUGACGGCCUUGGGGUUGUAAACCGCUUUCGCCUGUGACGAAGCGUGAGUGACGGUAAUGGGUAAAGAAGCACCGGCUAACUACGUG
rnacentral:rRNA from 1 species